CAGUAUCCAAAUUACUGAAACAGAGUGAUUUUAUUUUCCAAGUGUUAAGCCAUACCCACAGGAAACAACCAGGGCUAUUCUACCCUAGCAAAGUGCCUUAGCUAGUCAUGCAUUCUGCAACAAGUCUCCAUGGCAAAUUUCCUAACACACACUUCUAAACACAAAGAACUCCUCCAAGUAAUAAAGAGGGUGGUGUGAGCUCAACUAAAAGGAUAUUCUGCUACUCCUGGGAUAUUUUUAUGAGAGGAUCAUAACCUUAUUGUCACCUUGCCAUCCUAAAAUGGUGUAAAAAAUAUAAAAUCAUAGAACUUCUGGAAGUAAGCAGCAGCCUUAGAGGUGAUCAAGUGAAUCCAGUUGCUUCACUUUUCAGAUGAGGAAAUUGUCACGAGAAAAAAAAAAAAAAAGUGAAUGACUUGCCCAAGGCCAUUCAAUUACUCAGUGGCAUAGUAAAGCUAUGAUCAAGGACUCAGGUCCACCACUUUCUUCACGAAGUCACAGAAAUAGCCUUGCUAAUCUUAAAACUAUGUGCCAAACAUAACCU
rnacentral:lncRNA from 1 species